rnacentral:rRNA from 1 species
GAUGAACGCUGGCGGCGUGCCUAAUACAUGCAAGUCGAGCGAACGGACGAGAAGCUUGCUUCUCUGAUGUUAGCGGCGGACGGGUGAGUAACACGUGGAUACCCUACCUAUAAGACUGGGAUAACUUCGGGAAACCGGAGCUAAUACCGGAUGAUAUUUUGAACCGCAUGGUUCAAAAGUGAAAGACGGUCUUGCUGUCCCUUAUAGAUGGAUCCGCGCUGCAUUAGCUAGUUGGUAAGGUAACUGCUUACCAAGGCAACGAUGCAUAGCCGACCUGAGAGGGUGAUAGGCCACCCUGGAACUGAGACACGGUCCAGGCUCCUACGGGAGGCAGCAGUAGGGAAUCUUCCGCCAUGGGCGAAAGCCUGACGGAGCAACGCCGCGUGAGUGAUGCAGGUCUUCGGAUCGUAAAACUCUGUUAUUAGGGAAGAACAUAUGUGUAAGUAACUGUGCACAUCUUGACGGUACCUAAUCAGAAAGCCACGGCUAACUACGUG